rnacentral:rRNA from 1 species
AUUGAACGCUGGCGGCAGGCCUAACACAUGCAAGUCGAGCGGAUGAAGGGAGCUUGCUCCUGGAUUCAGCGGCGGACGGGUGAGUAAUGCCUAGGAAUCUGCCUGGUAGUGGGGGAUAACGUCCGGAAACGGGCGCUAAUACCGCAUACGUCCUGAGGGAGAAAGUGGGGGAUCUUCGGACCUCACGCUAUCAGAUGAGCCUAGGUCGGAUUAGCUAGUUGGUGGGGUAAAGGCCUACCAAGGCGACGAUCCGUAACUGGUCUGAGAGGAUGAUCAGUCACGAUGGAGCAGAGAUAAAGAGCAGGCGCGGGGGGGGAGAAGCAGUGGAGGAGACGGGGAAGCGGGCGAAUGGAGGCUCAGGCAGUGGGGGGUGGGAGAAUAAGGUGCGCGGAUUUUAAAGCACUGUAGGGCGGGAGGGAGGGAAGUAAGUUAAUACCUGUGUUGUUUGACAUUAACAACAGAAGAAGCACCGGCUCAGUGCGCGCCAGCAGCGUCGGUAAUCAGCGCAAGAGCACACGUACGAUC